UGAACGCUGGCGGCGUGCUUAACACAUGCAAGUCGAACGAAGCACUUACUUGAUCCCUUCGGGGUGACGAAUUUGUGACUGAGUGGCGGACGGGUGACGUUAACGCCGUGGAACCUGCCUUGUACCGGGGGAUAGCAGUUGGAAACGACUGAUAAUACCGCAUAAGCGCACAGUAUCACAUGAUACAGUGUGAAAAACUCCGGUGGUACAAGAUGGUCCCGCGUCUGAUUAGCUUGUUGGCGGGGUAAUGGCCCACCAAGGCGACGAUCAGUAGCCGACCUGAGAGGGUGACCGGCCACAUUGGGACUGAGACACGGCCCAAACUCCUACGGGAGGCAGCAGUGGGGAAUAUUGCACAAUGGAGGAAACUCUGAUGCAGCGACGCCGCGUGAGCGAUGAAGUAUUUCGGUAUGUAAAGCUCUAUCAGCAGGGAAGAUGAUGACGGUACCUGAGUAAGAAGCUCCGGCUAAAUACGUG
rnacentral:rRNA from 1 species